UCUCAUUUUUUUGAAUAUAUUGUCGAGAUUUGAACUAGGUCUUGGUUCUUCUACUCAAUGCUUCAUUGAAUAUCAAUCCAUUUGGGCUUUCUUUUCAUAUAAAAGCUGAUUUAGAGGGAGAAAGUUAUGGAAGAAGUUAAGGGGUCUGAUGCCGAAGCAGAAAAGGAUGGUGGAGCUUUGAAGUUCGAUGCGAAUAGUAAUAGUGCUGAUCUCAUGCCAGUUUCCCUUCAAGGACAAAUGCUUCAUCUGGCAUGGAUGUUGUUGAGCUCAGCAAAAGCACAUAUAUGGAAUUGCAGAGGAAGAAGGUGCACCGUUAUGUGAUCUUUAAGAUUGAUGAGAAGAAAAAUGAGGCUGUGGUCGAAAAGACCGGAAGUCUAGCUGAGAGCUAUGAUGAUUUUGCUGCAUCUCUUCCUGAGAAUGAUUGCAGAUAUGCAGUCUAUGACUUCGAUUUUGUGACUUCUGAGAACUGCCAAAAGAGCAAUAUCUUUUUCAUUGCAUGAUAUCUGGUACCUGUUGAUUUGACUGUUGGGCAGUUUGUCUAUGUGGUUUGGAAGAGGAUAAAGCUUGGUGCUGAGAAGGCCAUCUUUAUCUUUGUCAAGAACAUUUUGCCACCCACUGCUGCCAUGAUGUCUGCAAUUUAUGAGGAAAACAAGGAUGAAAAUGGCUUCCUGUACAUGACCUACAGCAGCGAGAACACAUUUGGAUCAAUCUGAAUGCAUUCGAGCCAAUUUAUGUAAAUAAGAAUUUCAUGGAAACUUGCUGAAAUAUACAUUUCCUGAGUACCAGUUUGCUUCUUGUGGAAUACAAGCGUGUGAAGAUUGUGAUUUACUUUUGUUUUUGUUAUCCAUGGAAGAAUCAUGAAGGAAACUUUUGUUUUUGAUUUACGUUAUUUUGAAUUGUGAACAACAUUAUGUAUUUAAACAUUGUGUAUGUAUUAUGCAAUAUUAUGUGGUGGGAUAAUUUUGCUAAUGAGUUGUAAUAAAUGAAUGCAAGAAUAUUUGUAUUA